UAGGCUGUUUGCUAAUGUGAAGUUUUAAUUUUGAAGUCUUUCUCCUUCAAGCCCAGAAUAAACCAAAGAGCCAGUCCUGGCUCGUGGUGGCAGAGUGGACUGCAUUCCGCCUGUUCUUCAAGGCCGUGGUCCCUGGAAGCAGAUCUCUAGGCCUUGUUUCCGAGGUGUGUGUAUUCCAACAGUGCAAGAGAGUCAUUUGUGGAAGAAAUAGCUCAUCUCCGCACCACUGAGUAGAGAAACAAUGAAACAGGCAAUGCACAGUCUCCCUUUGGAUCAAACGUAAAACUGAACACCAGAAGACUAAAAGCAGUCUUAGAAGACUGGGCUGAACGUUUCGGUGUGAAUACCAGAUUGUGGAAGGCUUAUCCCCCAGGAGGCCCCUGAUUUCUUCUCGGCAUCUCUGCUGGUGCUCAGGGUUCAGAGCCAGGCAGUAGAGGAGCCAGGAGAUGCCCGCGGCUGUGGUGUCCUGCCCCGCCACUACGAAUGUGUUCACUUCAGCUGACAGGAAGUCAAGAUCAGCAUCAGCAGCAUCAUCAAACUGUUCCUCCAUGUACCCUGCCCUCAUGCCCUAAGGAAGACAACCUUGACCCAACAGAAACUAGAGGUCAUAUAAUAACUUAACUUUUUAAAUUGUUAUUAAAAUAGCAUUUUAUUGGGGGCUCUUACAGC